GCUCAGGAUGAACGCUAGCUACAGGCUUAACACAUGCAAGUCGAGGGGUAGCAGGGUAGCAAUACCGCUGACGACCGGCGCACGGGUGAGUAACACGUAUCCAACCUUCCCAUAACUCGGGGAUAGCCUUUCGAAAGAAAGAUUAAUACCCGAUAGUACUUUAUUAAGGCAUCUUAAGAAAGUUAAAGAUUUAUUGGUUAUGGAUGGGGAUGCGUUCCAUUAGAUAGUUGGUGAGGUAACGGCUCACCAAGUCUUCGAUGGAUAGGGGUUCUGAGAGGAAGGUCCCCCACAUUGGUACUGAGACACGGACCAAACUCCUACGGGGGGCAGCAGUGAGGAAUAUUGGUCAAUGGGCGAGAGCCUGAACCAGC
rnacentral:rRNA from 1 species